GAUGAACGCUGGCGGCGUGCCUAAUACAUGCAAGUCGAGCGAACAGAUGAGGAGCUUGCUCCUCUGACGUUAGCGGCGGACGGGUGAGUAACACGUGGAUAACCUACCUAUAAGACUGGGAUAACUUCGGGAAACCGGAGCUAAUACUGGAUAAUAUAUUGAACCGCAUGGUUCAAUAGUGAAAGACGGUUUUGCUGUCACUUAUAGAUGGAUCCGCGCCGCAUUAGCUAGUUGGUAAGGUAACGGCUUACCAAGGCAACGAUGCGUAGCCGACCUGAGAGGGUGAUCGGCCACACUGGAACUGAGACACGGUCCAGACUCCUACGGGAGGCAGCAGUAGGGAAUCUUGCGCAAUGGGCGAAAGCCUGACGGAGCAACGCCGCGUGAGUGAUGAAGGUCUUCGGAUCGUAAAACUCUGUUAUUAGGGAAGAACAAAUGUGUAAGUAACUAUGCACGUCUUGACGGUACCUAAUCAGAAAGCCACGGCUAACUACGUG
rnacentral:rRNA from 1 species